GGUUCCAUAGUGUAAUGGUCAGCGCUCUCGACUUUGAAUCCAGUGAUCGGCGUUCAAAUCUUGGUAGGACCC
rnacentral:tRNA from 1 species